rfam:Hafnia alvei FB1, complete genome.
UUGUAUCUGAGUAUAUGGGGAUGUUUACCAGGGAUUCAACGCAAACAACAACAGAAAAAAAAAUGGGAGAUAAAAUCCCCCAUUUUAUUGAUAA